AGGGUGGGAUUGUCAUCUAUCAUUUAAGAAAACCUAGUCUUUUUUUCUCAUUUUCAUUGAUCUUUUGAUCCUAAUUACUUCAUAGAGUAGAAGGCCCUCUGACAAUCAUACCACAGUACUCUUCCUCUACUGCAGUUUUGGUUUAUUUUUUAAUGAAGGAUAAGAAACAGAUGCCAUGACAAGGUGCGGUGCCUAGAGGAAGAGAACACUGAACUGGAAUGCAGGAUCUGGGAAUGGUACAUGAGACAAGGCCCCAUCUGUGAGCCAAGGGACUACAGCUGCUACUACAGGGAAAUAGAAGAUCCUCAAAACCAGAUCAUUUGUGCAACCAUGGAGAACAAGAUCCUUCUGAACAUUGAUAACAGCAGGAUGGCUGCAGAUGACUUCUGAGUGACGAAAUAAAUCAUCUGAGAAGUCCGUCAACUGGAGAUGUCAAUGUGGAGGUCAACAUUUGUCCUGACCCAGAUCUGAGGAAAAGCCUUGAGGGCAAACAAUGCCAGUAUGAAAAUACGAUGGAGUGCAACCACAAAGAGGCUGAGCAGUGGCAUGCGUGCAAGAUUGAGGAGGUGAAUCAGGAGAUCAUCACCAGCAGUCAGGAGACAGGUCAAACAACAACCAGAUCACUGAACUGAGAUGUUGACUGCAAGCCCUGGAGACCUGCAGGCCCAACUCAGCCUAGUCAUUGCUGAAGGACAUGGGACUAAGUAGACUGCCUGUCAUUUCAUCAUGCACGACCCUUCCUUUCCCCCCCGCUCACAAGCAAAUCAGUGAAAAAGUGACAGCAAAGUGUAAGGAAAAGGAAGGAGAAAUGCAGUGGACAUUUGCUUGGCUCUAUUAAUGCUAUCCAUCCACUGAGGCGCAUUUGAGUUGUUCAGAGGGGCCAUAUUCCUGUCUAUUAUGCUGCUUGCUUCUUAUCUUUUGUAAUGCUGUUUUUUCAACCACUGCUACCCAGUUGUGUGCUGUGGCUGGUAAUCUACCAAAUGAUUUAAAAUAAAACUCUGCUACUGCUGAUGCAUCCAGAA